AAAAAUCAAGGAAGGAAUGAUAGAAAACAAAGAACUAAAGUUUAAAGACAAAAAAAAAGAACUAUAGAAUUUUUUAAAACGUCUUAAGUUAACCACCAUCUCCCUUUCGAAAAUUGAAAAAAAAAAUAUUUCCUACGCAUACGACAAAACUCGAACUCAAAAUCAGACAGAAUACAAACAGAUGCUUAACUAGUGAACCAGCAGACUCAUUUUUAAC
rnacentral:lncRNA from 1 species